rnacentral:rRNA from 1 species
UGUAUGGUUAAGUGACUAAGCGUACACGGUGGAUGCCUGGGCAGUCAGAGGCGAUGAAGGACGUACUAACUUGCGAUAAGCGCAGAUAAGGCAGUAAGAGCCGUUUGAGUCUGCGAUUUCCGAAUGGGGAAACCCAACUGCAUAAGCAGUUACUGUUAACUGAAUACAUAGGUUAACAGAGCAAACCGGGGGAACUGAAACAUCUAAGUACCCCGAGGAGAAGAAAUCAACCGAGAUUCCGGUAGUAGCGGCGAGCGAACCUGGAUUAGCCCUUAAGCACUCGGUGAAGUAGGUGAACAAGCUGGAAAGCUUGGCGAUACAGGGUGAUAGCCCCGUAACCGACGCUUCAUCGAGCGUGAAAUCGAGUAGGGCGGGACACGUGAUAUCCUGUCUGAAUAUGGGGGGACCAUCCUCCAAGGCUAAAUACUCCUGACUGACCGAUAGUGAACCAGUACCGUGAGGGAAAGGCGAAAAGAACCCCUGUGAGGGGAGUGAAAUAGAACCUGAAACCGUGUACGUACAAGCAGUAGGAGCACCUUCGUGGUGUGACUGCGUACCUUUUGUAUAAUGGGUCAGCGACUUAUAUUCAGUGGCAAGGUUAACCGUAUAGGGGAGCCGUAGCGAAAGCGAGUCUUAACUGGGCGCUCAGUCUCUGGAUAUAGACCCGAAACCGGGUGAUCUAGCCAUGGGCAGGUUGAAGGUUGAGUAACAUCAACUGGAGGACCGAACCGACUAAUGUUGAAAAAUUAGCGGAUGACUUGUGGCUAGGGGUGAAAGGCCAAUCAAACUCGGAGAUAGCUGGUUCUCCCCGAAAGCUAUUUAGGUAGCGCCUCGGACGAAUACUACUGGGGGUAGAGCACUGUUAAGGCUAGGGGGUCAUCCCGACUUACCAACCCUUUGCAAACUCCGAAUACCAGUAAGUACUAUCCGGGAGACACACGGCGGGUGCUAACGUCCGUCGUGGAGAGGGAAACAACCCAGACCGCCAGCUAAGGUCCCAAAGUAUUGCUAAGUGGGAAACGAUGUGGGAAGGCUCAGACAGCUAGGAUGUUGGCUUAGAAGCAGCCAUCAUUUAAAGAAAGCGUAAUAGCUCACUAGUCGAGUCGGCCUGCGCGGAAGAUGUAACGGGGCUAAGCAAUACACCGAAGCUGCGGCAAUGUCUUUUAGAUAUUGGGUAGGGGAGCGUUCUGUAAGCCGUUGAAGGUGAAUCGUAAGGUUUGCUGGAGGUAUCAGAAGUGCGAAUGCUGACAUGAGUAACGACAAAGGGGGUGAAAAACCUCCUCGCCGGAAGACCAAGGGUUCCUGUCCAACGUUAAUCGGGGCAGGGUGAGUCGACCCCUAAGGUGAGGCCGAAAGGCGUAAUCGAUGGGAAACGGGUUAAUAUUCCCGUACUUCUGACUAUUGCGAUGGGGGGACGGAGAAGGCUAGGUGGGCCAGGCGACGGUUGUCCUGGUUCAAGUGCGUAGGCUUGAGAGUUAGGUAAAUCCGGCUCUCUUUAAGGCUGAGACACGACGUCGAGCUGCUACGGCAGUGAAGUCAUUGAUGCCAUGCUUCCAGGAAAAGCCUCUAAGCUUCAGAUAGUCAGGAAUCGUACCCCAAACCGACACAGGUGGUCGGGUAGAGAAUACCAAGGCGCUUGAGAGAACUCGGGUGAAGGAACUAGGCAAAAUGGUACCGUAACUUCGGGAGAAGGUACGCUCUUGAUGGUGAAGUCCCUCGCGGAUGGAGCUGACGAGAGUCGCAGAUACCAGGUGGCUGCAACUGUUUAUUAAAAACACAGCACUGUGCAAAAUCGCAAGAUGACGUAUACGGUGUGACGCCUGCCCGGUGCCGGAAGGUUAAUUGAUGGGGUUAGCGCAAGCGAAGCUCUUGAUCGAAGCCCCGGUAAACGGCGGCCGUAACUAUAACGGUCCUAAGGUAGCGAAAUUCCUUGUCGGGUAAGUUCCGACCUGCACGAAUGGCGUAAUGAUGGCCACGCUGUCUCCACCCGAGACUCAGUGAAAUUGAAAUCGCUGUGAAGAUGCAGUGUACCCGCGGCUAGACGGAAAGACCCCGUGAACCUUUACUACAGCUUGGCACUGAACAUUGAACCUACAUGUGUAGGAUAGGUGGGAGGCUAUGAAGACGUGACGCCAGUUGCGUUGGAGCCGUCCUUGAAAUACCACCCUUGUAUGUUUGAUGUUCUAACUUAGACCCAUUAUCUGGGUUGAGGACAGUGCCUGGUGGGUAGUUUGACUGGGGCGGUCUCCUCCCAAAGAGUAACGGAGGAGCACGAAGGUGGGCUAAUCACGGUUGGACAUCGUGAGGUUAGUGCAAUGGCAUAAGCCCGCUUAACUGCGAGAAUGACGGUUCGAGCAGGUGCGAAAGCAGGUCAUAGUGAUCCGGUGGUUCUGUAUGGAAGGGCCAUCGCUCAACGGAUAAAAGGUACUCCGGGGAUAACAGGCUGAUACCGCCCAAGAGUUCAUAUCGACGGCGGUGUUUGGCACCUCGAUGUCGGCUCAUCACAUCCUGGGGCUGAAGUCGGUCCCAAGGGUAUGGCUGUUCGCCAUUUAAAGUGGUACGCGAGCUGGGUUUAGAACGUCGUGAGACAGUUCGGUCCCUAUCUGCCGUGGGCGUUGGAAGAUUGAAGGGGGCUGCUCCUAGUACGAGAGGACCGGAGUGGACGAACCUCUGGUGUUCGGGUUGUGUCGCCAGACGCAUUGCCCGGUAGCUAAGUUCGGAAUUGAUAAGCGCUGAAAGCAUCUAAGCGCGAAGCGAGC